rnacentral:pre_miRNA from 1 species
AGAGUGCAUCUCAGCCAAGGAUGAAUUGCCGGCGUAUAUAUAGUUAUUUUUAUAUAUGUUUAAUUUAUAGAUUCAUUUUGGUCGUCGGCAAUUUGUCAUUUGGCUAUGUUGGGCUCUUU